rnacentral:rRNA from 1 species
AUUGAACGCUGGCGGCAUGCUUUACACAUGCAAGUCGAACGGUAACAGGCCGCAAGGUGCUGACGAGUGGCGAACGGGUGAGUAACGCAUCGGAACGUGCCCAGUCGUGGGGGAUAACGCAGCGAAAGCUGUGCUAAUACCGCAUACGAUCUAUGGAUGAAAGCGGGGGACCGUAAGGCCUCGCGCGAUUGGAGCGGCCGAUGUCAGAUUAGGGAGUUGGUGGGGUAAAGGCCUACUAAGCCGACGAUCUGUAGCUGGUCUGAAAGGACGACCAGCCACACUGGGACUGCGACACGGCCCAGACUCCUACGGGAGGCAGCAGUGGGGAAUUUUGGACAAUGGGCGCAAGCCUGAUCCAGCAAUGCCGCGUGCAGGAAGAAGGCCUUCGGGUUGUAAACUGCUUUUGUACGGAACGAAACGGCCUGGGUUAAUACCCUGGGCUAAUGACGGUACCGUAAGAAUAAGCACCGGCUAACUACGUGCCAGCAGCCGCGGUAACAC